CCUACGGGAGGCUGCAGUGAGGAAUAUUGGUCAAUGGACGAGAGUCUGAACCAGCCAAGUAGCGUGAAGGAUGACUGCCCUAUGGGUUGUAAACUUCUUUUAUAAAGGAAUAAAACGAGGCACGUGUGCCUUUUUGCAUGUACUUUAUGAAUAAGGAUCGGCUAACUCCGUGCCAGCAGCCGCGGUAAUACGGAGGAUCCGAGCGUUAUCCGGAUUUAUUGGGUUUAAAGGGAGCGUAGAUGGGUUGUUAAGUCAGUUGUGAAAGUUUGCGGCUCAACCGUAAAAUUGCAAUUGAUACUGGCAGUCGUGAGUACAGUUGAGGUAGGCGGAAUGCGUGGUGGAGCGGUGAAAUGCUUAGAUAUCACGAAGAACCCCGAUUGCGAAGGCAGCUUACUAAACUGUGACUGACAUUGAUGCUCGAAAGUGUGGGUAUCAAACAGGAUUAGAUACCCCAGUAGUC
rnacentral:rRNA from 1 species